UAUUUACCUGAUUAGCCUUUUCGCAAUCUGAAACCCUAGUUCCCAAAUCCAUCUAUUCUCACAUUUUCCAGUAAGAUUAUUAUGCAUUUUCUUCUUUAAUCGUUCAUCAACAGUUCAAAAUUGGUCGAUUUUCUUCUUUAAGAUUUGUUACUUUGAUUCGCAACGGCUUGUACGAAGUAGACCGCUCGUAAGUCCACCGGUGGAAAGGCUCAAAGGAAGCAACUCGCGACCAAGGCUGCUAGGAAAUCUGCUCCAACAACCGGAGGAGUGAAGAAGCCUCAUCGUUAUUGUUCUGGAACUGUCGCACUACGGUGAAUUGGCCAAACAUGCUGUUUCCGAGGGUACUAAGGCUGUUACCAAGUUUACUAGCGCUUAGAGGAGAUUGGUUUGUUGGGUUAGGUUUUGUUUGGUUUAUGUAACUGGAUUUUGGUAAUUUGAUGUAAAGCUAGUUAAUGUUCAUUUAUUAGUUUGAGGUGCCUUGAAGUUGGACCGGAAGAAGACAACAAGUAGAGAAAUAUGCUAUGACCGGAAAAUUGAAGAAAGUUUGUUUAUACACGUAAAUGAAAGGGAGACUAGAAUUGUUCUCAGAUAAUCCGUCACAAAAUGUUCUUUAAUGUUGAAAAUUAGGUGUAUGGUUUUUGUGUAGUUUGGAUUUUAUUGUGUUAUUUGAAUAAGUUGGUAUUUUAAUUUUAUUGGUUUGUAUAUCAAGUCAUGUUGGUUUUUUAUAUUUA